CAUCACGUUGAAACACCAAAGUUAAGCAACGUCGAGCCUGGUAAGUACCUAGAUGGUUGACCGCUUGGGAAUACCAGGUGUUGCAA